CACUUAAAAUCUGAUCAGCUGAAAUUGAACACUGACACGAACUUUGUUCGUGAGUCUCUCAAAUUUUCGCAACACGAUGAUGAAUCGAAAGAAACAUCUUCGG
rnacentral:sRNA from 20 species